rnacentral:rRNA from 1 species
GUAGGUGGCAAGCGUUGUCCGGAAUUAUUGGGCGUAAAGCGCGCGCAGGCGGUUCUUUAAGUCUGAUGUGAAAGCCCACGGCUCAACCGUGGAGGGUCAUUGGAAACUGGAGAACUUGAGUACAGAAGAGGAAAGCGGAAUUCCACGUGUAGCGGUGAAAUGCGUAGAGAUGUGGAGGAACACCAGUGGCGAAGGCGGCUUUCCGGUCUGUAACUGACGCUGAGGCGCGAAAGCGUGGGGAGCAAACAGGGAUUAGAUACCCUGGUAGUCCACGCCGUAAACGAUGAGUGCUAAGUGUUAGGGGGUUUCCGCCCCCUUAGUGCUGCAGCUAACGCAUUAAGCACUCCGCCUGGGGAGUACGGCCGCAAGGCUG